rnacentral:lncRNA from 1 species
UUUGAUAUGUUGUGUUCAGGUUCAGGGCAUGGUGUGUGAGUUGCGGGCAGGGUUUUCUCGUGCGCUGCUGGCGCUGAAUCAGAUUCAGCAGGGAGACACUGAGCUGCAGAGCCAGCUGGAGGACACAAGACAUGGCUGCAACAAGCGCACCCUUCACCUAGAGAGUCUGGUGCUGUCCCUCAAGGAGGAGCUGGAGGAGGUACGCUGUCAGUUUCGUCAACUCUGUGAGGCACAAGACAGAAAACCACCAGAGAAUCCAGGAAUAGAGAAUAAUGGCGUGGAUGACAGUAGCGGACAGAGUAAUGGUGCUGCAGAGGCUCCUCCCCUCUCACCUGUGGGCGGAGAUUUCCUCAUACACUGUUACCUGCAGGGA